rnacentral:rRNA from 1 species
AACGCGGCGGCUGCUUACACUACGCCUUUAACUGUAGCACGGGAGCAUCUGAGUGGGUAAUGGCGAACGGGUGAGUAUAUAUCGGAACGUGCCCCAGAUCGUCGCGGGGAUAACUGCAGGCGAAAGCUGUGCUAAUACCUGGAUACGAUCUACGAGAUGAAAGGCGGGGUGAUCGCAAGACCUCGCGGCGACUUGGAGCAGGCCGAUAUCAAGAUUAUCUAGUUGGUGAGGUAAAGGCUCGACCAAGGCGGACGGAUCUGUAGCUGGUCUGAUAGUGACGACCAGCCACGACGUGGAACUGAGGACACAGGUCCAAACUCCUAACGGGAGGCAGCAGUGGGAGAAUUUUGGACAAUGGGCGCAAGCCUGAUCCAGCAAUGCCGCGUGCAGGAUGAAGGCCUUCGGGUUGUAAACUGCUUUUGUACGGAACGAAACGGUAGAGCUCUAAUACAGUUUGCUAAUGACGGUACCGUAAGAAUAAGCACCGGCUAACUACGUGCCAGCAAGCCGCGGUAAUACGUAGGGUGCGAGCGUUAAUCGGAAUUACUAGGGCGUAAAGCGUAGCGCAGGCGGUUAUGUAAGACAGAUGUGAAAUCCCCGGGCUCAACCUGAGGAACCUGCAUUGUGACCUGCAUAGCUAGAGUCCGGUAGCAGGGGGAUGGAAUUCCGAGGUGUAAGCAGAUGAAUGCGUAAUAUUGCGGCAGGGAAACACCCGAUGGGCGAAAAGGACAAUCCCCACCU